UUCACACUCGUCAACAUGACAUAACCACAAAUGCAAGAUUGCUAGUUUGUCCUCAGACUGCUGGCCAAACCUCACGGUCAACUAAUGGCUGAAGUCAUGAGUUGAGUUUUGAUACUUAAAGUAUUAAGGUUUGACUCUGCUGAGAUUUCCCUUAUAUACUUGGGUAAGUUUAAUUUUUAUUUUAUUUUUGGGGGGUUAGUAUAUUCAGGUAACUUAGACUACAUAGGGCAAGAGACAAAUUAAGCUCAUUCUAUUAUUUUCCUAAUGCAUAUGCAUAUCACAAAACUGCUGCUACUGUGAAGGAUUUUCACCAUGGUAAGGAUGUUGUGAAAACCUGCUGUUGUGACAGGCCUAAUGUCCAUCACACAUCUUCAAGAGAAAAUUGAAACCACCCUUGCACUUGCCUCUGUAACUGGACAGAAUUCCCUUUUUGGCUUAUGAUGUGACUGUUAAAGGUUUAUAGUUUCCUCUUUGUAUUGGGCGGGUCAUGGCUGUUAGUUUUACGAAGGGAAAAUGUCCUUAGAAAAUGUGUGCAGUGGCCACGGGUUUUUCUCUUGUUAAGGCCGCAUACUUAAUUUAGUUUUUCUACAGGUAUCCUAAGACAGUACUCAGUAGUAAGAGACAAGACAAUAGGUGCAGUUUACUGGCUUAUGGUUAACAGGAAGAAUUUUCCGUGUUUCUGUCCUGUGUGCAGAUUCUUGCCUUGCAUCUGCCAAGCCACUAAAUAAGAGUCCCUCUGUGCUUUUAAAAUGUUCUACUUUUUCUUCAUAACUGUAUUUGCUCACCUGCUGUGAGCAUCGUGUUGUCAGACGGCACUUCAGUCUGGCUUACUGCAUGGCUUUGUUUGCUAUGGCAACCAGAUUACUACACGGUUUAGCACAAGCGAUGUUUACAAAUGUAGUUGGGAUUUUUAUGAGCCAGGACAUCUUUCAGACUACUUGGCAAGGUGGGGCCCAGCAAGAGACCUACAGCUAUGUAUGAGGGUGUAGGGAGCAGACAAGUGAACAGAAGGAGCCUCUCCUUCUCAAGGUGGGGCCUCUUGUAUGUCUCUAAUACACAUAACAAGACGCUACAACGAAGGACAUCAUCAACUGAUGACAAGAAUACAAUAUUGACACCUUCUUGGGACAAUCAGGCUUUAAUUUUGUAAAACUAUAUUCUAUAAAUGUGUAAGUAGUAAUACAACAUACUACUUUCUCAUACAGUUUCUCUCUGAUUUCUCAGACUUUUUAUCUGAUUUAGU